GCUUGCUCUGUGGGAUCAGUGGCGAACGGGUGAGUAACACGUGAGCAACCUGCCCCUGACUCUGGGAUAAGCGCUGGAAACGGCGUCUAAUACUGGAUAUGUGACGUGACCGCAUGGUCUGCGUUUGGAAAGAUUUUUCGGUUGGGGAUGGGCUCGCGGCCUAUCAGCUUGUUGGUGAGGUAAUGGCUCACCAAGGCGUCGACGGGUAGCCGGCCUGAGAGGGUGACCGGCCACACUGGGACUGAGACACGGCCCAGACUCCUACGGGAGGCAGCAGUGGGGAAUAUUGCACAAUGGGCGAAAGCCUGAUGCAGCAACGCCGCGUGAGGGAUGACGGCCUUCGGGUUGUAAACCUCUUUUAGCAGGGAAGAAGCGAAAGUGACGGUACCUGCAGAAAAAGCGCCGGCUAACUACGUGCCAGCAGCCGCGGUAAUACGUAGGGCGCAAGCGUUAUCCGGAAUUAUUGGGCGUAAAGAGCUCGUAGGCGGUUUGUCGCGUCUGCUGUGAAAUCCCGAGGCUCAACCUCGGGCCUGCAGUGGGUACGGGCAGACUAGAGUGCGGUAGGGGAGAUUGGAAUUCCUGGUGUAGCGGUGGAAUGCGCAGAUAUCAGGAGGAACACCGAUGGCGAAGGCAGAUCUCUGGGCCGUAACUGACGCUGAGGAGCGAAAGGGUGGGGAGCAAACAGGCUUAGAUACCCUGGUAGUCCACCCCGUAAACGUUGGGAACUAGUUGUGGGGUCCAUUCCACGGAUUCCGUGACGCAGCUAACGCAUUAAGUUCCCCGCCUGGGGAGUACGGCCGCAAGGCUAAAACUCAAAGGAAUUGACGGGGACCCGCACAAGCGGCGGAGCAUGCGGAUUAAUUCGAUGCAACGCGAAGAACCUUACCAAGGCUUGACAUAUACGAGAACGGGCCAGAAAUGGUCAAACUCUGAAUUGGACACUCGUAAACAGGUGGUGCAUGGUUGUCGUCAGCUCGUGUCGUGAGAUGUUGGGUUAAGUCCCGCAACGAGCGCAACCCUCGUUCUAUGUUGCCAGCACGUAAUGGUGGGAACUCAUGGGAUACUGCCGGGGUCAACUCGGAGGAAGGUGGGGAUGACGUCAAAUCAUCAUGCCCCUUAUGUCUUGGGCUUCACGCAUGCUACAAUGGCCGGUACAAAGGGCUGCAAUACCGUGAGGUGGAGCGAAUCCCAAAAAGCCGGUCCCAGUUCGGAUUGAGGUCUGCAACUCGACCUCAUGAAGUCGGAGUCGCUAGUAAUCGCAGAUCAGCAACGCUGCGGUGAAUACGUUCCCGGG
rnacentral:rRNA from 1 species